UUCGCAAUGCCCGAAAGGGUGACGAAGCGACGCCGCGUGGGUGAGGAAGGCCUUCGGGUUGUAAAGCCCUGUCAGGAGUUAAGAAAUGUAGGUACGCUAAUAUCGUACUUAUUUGACGAAGGCUCCAAAGGAAGCCACGGCUAACUCUGUGCCAGCAGCCGCGGUAAUACAGAGGUGGCAAGCGUUGUUCGGAAUUAUUGGGCGUAAAGAGCACGUAGGUGGGUUUGUAAGUCAGAUGUGAAAGCCUUCUGUUCAACGGAAGAAUUGCAUCUGAAACUACAGAUCUUGAGUGUAGGAGGGGAAAAUGGAACUUCUGGUGGAGCGGUGAAAUGCGUAGAUAUCAGAAGGAACGCCGGCGGCGAAAGCGAUUCUCUAGCCUAUUACUGACACUCAGUGUGCGAAAGCUAGGGGAGCAAACGGGAUUAGAUACCCCGGUAGUCCUAGCCGUAAACGAUGGGCACUAAGUAGAGGGGUUUU
rnacentral:rRNA from 2 species